AGGACGAACGCUGGCGGCGUGCUUAACACAUGCAAGUGGAGCGACGAACCAGGGCUUGCCCUGGGGCAGAGCCGCGAACGGGUGAGUAACACGUGGGUUACCUGCCUCGAUGACCGGGACAACCCGAGGAAACUCGGGCUAAUACCGGAUGUGCCCGCAAGGGGAAAGGAAGCUUCGGCCUCCGCAUCGAGAUGGGCCCGCGGCCCAUUAGCUUGUUGGUGAGGUAACGGCUCACCAAGGCUUCGAUGGGUAGCUGGUCUGAGAGGACGAUCAGCCACACUGGGACUGAGACACGGCCCAGACUCCUACGGGAGGCAGCAGUGGGGAAUUUUCGGCAAUGGGGGCAACCCUGACCGAGCAACGCCGCGUGCAGGAAGACGGCCUUCGGGUUGUAACUGCUUUUCUCUGGGACGAGAGCGGACGGUACCAGAGGAAGAAGCCCGGCUACUACGCGCCAGCAGCCGC
rnacentral:rRNA from 1 species